rnacentral:rRNA from 1 species
AAGACCUUGCGCUUUUGGAGCGGCCGAUGCCUGAUUAGCUUGUUGGUAAGGUAAAAGCUUACUAAGGCUUCGAUCAGUAGCUGGUCUGAGAGGACGGCCAGCCACACUGGGACUGAGACACGGCCCAGACUCCUACGGGAGGCAGCAGUGGGGAAUUUUGGACAAUGGGGGCAACCCUGAUCCAGCCAUGCCGCGUGAGUGAAGAAGGCCUUCGGGUUGUAAAGCUCUUUCAGCCGGAACGAAACGGUUACGGUUAAUACCCGUGAUUACUGACGGUACCGGAAGAAGAAGCACCGGCUAACUACGUGCCAGCAGCCGCGGUAAUACGUAGGGUGCGAGCGUUAAUCGGAAUUACUGGGCGUAAAGCGUGCGCAGGUGGUUUUGUAAGUCAGAUGUGAAAGCCCCGGGCUCAACCUGGGAACU